rnacentral:lncRNA from 10 species
CCAUAUAAAUCUCCUCCCUGCCCCCACUAUGGCCUGCAGCUUCAGGGUGGGUGAAUUUGCCUGUGAUAAGCAAGGCUUCUGGAAGAAAGACCUGCUUAGGGGAGCAAAUGCUUCCUGCCUAGGGGAAGGAGUGCCUUGUGCCCUGGCACAGAUGGGAGCUGGGACCUGCGUCCCCCUCUGGCCCCUAGUCCCCCAUCCAGGCGCUUAGGCUGGGGAGCAGGGGGUAGCACUUCUCUCACCCCAGCCUUUGAUGUCACACAGAGCCCGGGGUUCACUGGAGUAGGGCUGCGGAGGAGGAAACCGUGUGGUCGGGGAGGGGACUGGAGACCUCUGCCCGCCCUUGGAAACGUGCAUCUUUCCUUCUGUUUGCUUGCAGGGAGGAGAAGGUGAGUAUAGCAGAGAACUGGAGGGGACUUCGGAGUCCGUCUCCCAUGGGGCCUAGUGCUGAAGAACUUUUCCCGGUGGAGGGUGGGGUAGGCCCAGGUCAUGAAACAGAGCCAUUUUUUUUUUUUUUUUUUUUUUUUUGGAGACAGAGUCUUGCUCUGUCCAGGCUGGAGUGCAGUGGCACAAUCUCGGCUCACUGAAACCUCUGCCUCCCGGGUUCAGGCAAUUCUCCUGCCUCAGCCUCCCAAGUAGCUGGGACUACAGGCACACACCACCAUGCUGGGCUAAUUUUUGUAUUUUUAGUAGAGACGGCGUUUUACCAUGUUGUCCAGGCGGGUCUCAAACUUCUGACCUCAGGUGAUCUGCCCACGUCGGCCUCCCAAAGUGCUGGGAUUACAGGUGUGAGCCACCAUGCCUGGCCCACAGACAUACUUUUAAGAUAGCAGAACCAGGACUGCUGCAGCCUCAUACCCAGCUAAGCCUUCGGGUUUCCAAGUAAGACCCAAAGCAGUAAAGAUUUCCCUCAAUCGGCCAAGUCUUCAGACUGCUCACAGGCAAAAGAAGUGGACAGGGACUCAGCUUCUACACAGCUUCCCUGAACCCUCCCCUGCAGCUUUCUUUUCUUUCUUUCUUUUUUUUUUUUUUGAGAUAGGGUCUCACUCUGUAGCCUAGGCUGGAGUGCAGUGGUGUGAUCUCGGCUCACUGCAGCCUUGAUCUCCUGGGCUCAGGUGAUCCUCCCACCUGAGCCUCCCAAGUAGCUGAGACUACAGGCGUGUGCCACCGUGCCUGGCUUUAUUUUUUUGGUUUGUUUUUGUUUUGUAUUUUUUUCUAAAGACAAGGUUUUGCCAUGUUGUCCAGGCUGCUCCUGAAUUCUUGGGCUCAACUGAUCCUCCCGCCUUGCCUCCCAAGGUGCUGGGAUUUACAGGCAUGAACCGCCAUGCCUGGCCACCCCUGCAACUUUUGAUGUCACUUGAAGGCAGGUUCUUUUCUCCCAGCUGAGCUCCAGCUUUCACCUUGAGGGCAGGGGCAAUGCCUGACUCUCCUUUUGAAUCCUCAGUGCCUUGAAAUCUAGCCAAGAUGGGUGCUCAGAAUGUCCAGUGAAUGAUGAAUAAGGGGCAGGAAAACAUAGUGGGGGAGGAGGGAAGGGGACAGAAAGGUUGCCUGCAGGGAGCCUGCAGGGUGGGGAAGUGGAGAUGGGAAGGGCACAGGAAAUCUUGCUGGUGAGGCUGGAGGACACUUGUCUCUCAGCCUUCUGAUGCCAUCUGCAAACCUCACAGGUCCCCUUCUGCAGCCUUUCCUGGAGGUUUGCUUAAGAAGGUCGAGAGAGGGAAUUAGCCAGAGACAACACGUUUCUCUUCGCAGUGGUUGGAAGUCAGUAGAAGCUGGAUGGGGAAGGGCUGGAAUGGGAACCCGACUUCAGGUACGUGCGUUCCUCAUUCAUGCUGAGCCCUGGGCUCUGGACGGCACCACACAGGCCUGCAUGCUGGCGAGGCUGGUGCAGAGAGGUGAGUCAUCCAUUCUUCAUGGCACAGCUGUCGCCUUCCUGAAACUCACAUUAGACACGCGCUCAUAGAAUCAAAUGUACCACAUGCAGCCAUUACAGACGGGCACACCAACCCCAGACUGCUGUUGCCAGAAAACAAAAGAGAGCAAGAGAGAAGACAGUGGGUGAAGUCCUGGUUCCAGACUCCCCUUUUUGCCGGGAUAUGAUGGAUCUGUCAGCUGGUGCCUAGAGUCCUAGAGAGCUAGAGAUGGAGGGAAAUUCAGAUCAUCUAAACCCUUCAGCCCUUCACUGGACAGAAGAGGAAACUGAGGCUCCAUCUGCAUGACGUUCCCAGAGUCACGGCACAAAUUCAUGGAAGAAGCAGCAGGAAACUCAGUUCUCCAGUCUGGGUCCAAUGUGUGUUUUAGAAAUAUCUCCACAGGGUUAAUGACUCAAUUUUUCAUGCAUGAUUGCUAGUAAUGACAAUCAUGUUAUGUUUGUUUCUGUAGCUUUGGAAAUCACUCCUUCCACUUGAGUUUCAGGUCCCAACUGUCCACACCUGCAGGAGUGAGGUUUUGCUGAGACUGAUAAGGCACUCACAUUUUGUGGGAGUUGAAUUGUCUCUGUAGCCUAGAAUCUAGAUUUUUUUCCCUCCUCUGCUCUCAGUGAACGGAGAAUUCCAUCUCGGUACAAUCUGUGAACCAUUCUGCAGUAAGAUUGUCAUCGUCUCAUUCAUACUACCUGGUCGGUAACACAAAGGGCUGUAAUUGAUGUGGUUCAGAGACUCACAUCCAAGCAAUAAAAAUGAAUCCCUUAUGGUGGUCUGCAGCAACGCAAAUGGAUCCAGUGUCUGGCUUUAAUGGGAGUGGGGAAAUUGCUAACAGAUGACGGUAACUUUC